CAGCAGCCACGGUAAUACGGAGGGGGCUAGCGUUGUUCGGAAUUACUGGGCGUAAAGCGCACGUAGGCGGCUUGGUAAGUUAGAGGUGAAAGCCCGGAGCUCAACUCCGGAAUUGCCUUUAAGACUGCAUCGCUUGAACGUCGGAGAGGUGAGUGGAAUUCCGAGUGUAGAGGUGAAAUUCGUAGAUAUUCGGAAGAACACCAGUGGCGAAGGCGGCUUACUGGCUCAUACUGGACGCUGAGGUGCGAAAGCGUGGGGAGCAAACAGGAUUAGAGACCCCAGUAGUCCCUGUCUCUUAUAC
rnacentral:rRNA from 1 species